GGAGUGACAGCUUUAAGCCUGGUAUGACUGGGACUUGUGGAAAUGAGAAGGAAAAGAAGAAACCUGCCUUUUGGCUGAAUGUGGCACGUGAAAAGUUAAGAAUGGUUCUUGACCUGUCUGGUGAAAAGUUGGUGACUUGCCUGAGAAAUAAAAAAAGAAGGAUGGAUAGACCUAAAAGCAAGGAUUCAUGACUGAGACAUCUCGACAUCCCUGCUGGCUGCUGCAGGAGCCAGGCAUCACUUAGACACAGUGGCUUGUAGAAGUCGAGAGGACACCACUGUCCUGCUCCCUGGAAAUGCAUCAAACUCACCCUGAAAAACAAAAACCCAACAACAAAAGCCUAAUCCCCAACAUGAACAGUAUAUCUCAACCAGUUCCUCUUCUAUCAGUUAAGAGCAGAAAUACUGGAUACC
ensembl:lncRNA